UAUAUAUAUAUAAAGAAACACAUUUUUUGCUGAGCCAUUUGAAAGUAAGUUGGGACAUUAUGACCCUUUACCUGUAAAUACUGUAGCAUAUUUUUUCCUAAAGUAAGGACGUAAGGAUGUUCACUUACGUGACCAUAAUACCCAUAUGAUAUGUAAGAAAGUGAGUUAACUCCAUAAUAUGUAAUACACAAUUUAUAGUCAAACUUCUCCAGUUGCCCUUGUUUGUUUAUUUUGGUCCAGGGUCCAGUCAAGGUUCAUUUGGUUGUAUUGUCUAUUUAGUGUCUAAAAAAAAAAAAAGACUUACUUCCUGACUUUGCAUAUUGUCUUUGUGCAAGGGCCAUACUUACUUUCUCUGAAUCAUCCCAGUUUUGGUGGCUGAGCUGCCCAAAUUAGUCAGAAGAGCUUUUCUGAGUGAUGUGUUGAUGUUGUCACUGAAAUUUUAUCCCAACUCAUGAGUGUUUAUAAUUAACACAUUCUUAAAAAUAUCCUGUUGGAAAUGUAUUUAGGACUUCUGCAUUACACUCCACUUUAUAUACUUUAAAAAUUAAUUUUUCAGGCUGGACAUGGAGGCUUGCAUUUACUGUAAUCCCAGCAUUUUGGAAAGCCGAGGCAGGUGGAUCAUUUGAGUUCAGGAGUUCGAGACCAGCCUGGUCAACAUGGUGAAACUCCAUCUCUACGAAAAAUAAAAAAAUUAGCCAAGUGCGGCGGUGUACACCUGUGGUCCCAGCUAUUCAGGAGGCUGAGCUGUCUCCUUGAAGCCAGUGCUCUAUUUGUGAACUAGAUGGUGUCAACAAAAAAGAGUUCAACUCUGUAAAAUAUUUGAAGAGAUUUAUUGUGAGCCAAAUAUGAGUUACCAUGGCCAGUGACACAACCAUCAGGAGGUCCUGAGAACAUGUUGCUCAAGAACUCACCCCAGUCAGGACAUUGAUCUCACCACUCUACUGAAACUGCCCUUGUCAAGAGCAUCAAUGAUCUCAUGUUACUAAAACCAGUAAGAGUUCUUAGUUCUCAUCUUACUCGGCCCAUCAGCAGUGCAUAACUCAGCUGAUCAUCCCCUUGCUGCAGCACCUUCUUCACUUGGCUUCCAGGACACUGCAGUUUCCCGUCUACAACAAUGGGUAGAAGUCAUCAGAUUUUUAUAUCUCCUGUUGGCUUUCUCUCAGCAUAUGAAGAUGUAAUUCCUGAGCCACCAUCCUGAGUUUUUCUGCUCAUGGGGUUUGGCAGGCAUUGAGAAUGAUCACACCUCCGUCCUGCUCUAGCCAAUAAAAUGUGAGCAGAGGUCAAGAUUUAUGUCCCUUCCAGGAAAAGCAUUUAAAAGCUGAUGCCAGUUUUCCAUCUUUCCUUCUCUCUGCUGCAGUGAUUGGCAUGUAGAUGGUGGAGCCUCAGCUGGUCAGGGUCCCUAAAUGAAGGCACUGUGGAGCCCACCCUGUAUGGACUAGAAAACUCUGUGGACAAGGAAAUUAUGAUCCUGACUUGAAAGAUGAGGAAAUUUAAGCUGAAAAUGCUGAAUAAUUUGCAGAGGACCACACAGUUCAUAAAUGAUGGAGUGACCAGCGAAGGCCUCCUUGAGGAUGUGAUAUUUAGGAUGGAAGGAUUCAAGGAGCUGGUUGUAAAAGAAUGGGGCAGAAGUGUGGCAAAGAGGAUUCCAGGCAGUGGGAGCUUCUCAAGCCAAGGCCCUGAGGUGGAAAUCACUUGCCAUGUUUGAGGAACUGAAAGGUUGUGCAGACAUAACGUGGUGAGAGAGGAGUAAAGUGAGGUGGACCCCAGAUGGAUUAAAGUCUACAUACAAAACCUGUGCAGCUAUGGAUUAAUAACUAGAAUAUAAAGUACAAGGAGAUCCUGCAAAUCAGCACAAAAAAGGUAGGAAAUCCAGUUUAAAAAUGGGUAUGGCAUGUGAACAGGAAAUAUAUACAAAAAGGAAAACCUGAAUGCCAGCAAGCCUAUGAUCAGAUGUUCAACCUCACAAGAGAUCAGAAAGAGGAAGAUAUAGACAAUUAUUUAUAACUUUAUAGUCAUAAUGCUUGGCAAAAAUUAAAAGGUGGAUAAUACCAAGUAGAGCUGAGGACAUGGAAUAAAAUAGUUCUUACAUAAUUGGUGGUGGUGUUAAGGCAUUCAGCCACUCAGAUGAGUGUCAAGAAAUCACUUAGUGAAAUUAAAUAUGUAGGUGCAUGUCUGUGAAUGUACUGGGGUCUUUGCUCACCUCUGGGGAAAAUCAGAAGAUUUGGUUUUCUUACUGACUUGG